ACUUACUCAUAUUUUCUGUAUAACCAACACUCAAAAUCAUACUUGUCAACAUUGCUAAACUCGGAUCUUCAAAAUCAAGCUGUAAGAGCAUCUUCAUUAGAAGUAUCUCAAUGAGAUACCCAACAAAAAAAAAAAAAUUUUAAAAAAAAGUAUGAGAGAAGGGAGAAAAAGUAGGAGAGAAGGAGAGUUGAGUUUCUCGGAGGAGAAACUUUGAGAAACUAUUCUCAUCCAAUUUGGACAGGUGUCAUCAUACUAUUAGUUCAACUAUUAAAUAAUAAU
rnacentral:sRNA from 1 species